UGAGGAUUACCAGGAGUGGCUCUACUGCCUCAAAACUGCCCAGUUUCGAAAUGCUGACUCCUCCUUGUCCGGAUCAGAGAGUUUCUCAGGAUCAAAGCUGCCACACCUCAGCCAGUUUGCUGGCAGUGGGAGAGGCUCACUGGCCUCCGAUGGCCGCACCAACUCUUGGGCAUCUGGAGGGAAAGGGACCAACACCCUGACACACCUGUCCCAGCACAGCGGCUCGCUGCACGACGCUCAGUCCUUCAUGUUGCUGGAGGAGCCACACAGCCCUGGCUAUUCCCAACCUCUCCACUGCCUGCCCCACACCAACUGGCCGAGCACCGUGCUGCCUGUGCAGGAGCUGCGGAGGGGCAGCAGCACCAAGAAGCCUAAAGGCAGAUGUGGUCCAGGCACACAGGAUGUGGAACAGGCACCGUGCAGCCUCAUCCCCCAGCACCCCAUCCUGCCUGCUCUGUACAGUGAGCCAUACUGCACCUACAGCACACCGCAUCGCUCCACGGACCCCCCUGCACAGCUGGAACUGAGCAAUGUCCUGCAGUGUCAGAAGAUUGCCCAGCCCCUGCCUGGCAGGCACUGGAUGGAGGUGCUCGGGGCACAGAGACACCCCCAGCUUCCUGCUGAUGCUCCAUACCUUGCCAACGUGUCAUCUCUGCCAGAGGAACAUCUGGGCCCCUUGCUGCAGCCACCAGAUGAUGGCAUGGGUGCCUACGAUGUGCCAGAAGGCGGCUGCCUGCACCGUGACUCUGCAGUGUACCACGACUACGCUGAGCUGCAGAGCUUCCAGAGCGAGCUCAGCUAUGACAACCUGUGGGACGCCGAGGGCAGGGAGCCAGACAGCCCAGCACCCUGCUAUGAAGUGUGAGCAGAGGUCUCACCGGGCACAGGAUGACCCCUGGGCUCUGUUCUCCUACCCCAGUGGGUACAGGAAGCAAAGGGACCCGCAGCGAUCCCUGGGAGCAGUGUUAAGGACAUCCCAGAAUGGUUCCCAUUGCGGGGAGGGGGUAAGGGGGGGGACACAUCCUCCUCCCAUCCCUCAGUGUCUGGGGGAACCUGGGGAGAUCAGGGCACAAACAACAGGGGACAGAGUCUGGGUGCUAUCGCUCUGCAGCCUCUUGGCCAGAUCCCUCAGCACAUACGAGGUCAGCAGCAAACCCAAAUGUUUUCUUUUUUUUACCUGAGGCUCCAAAUUCUUAACCUUUGUCCCCUCCAGAGGCUGCAAACCAAACAUAGCGAUGAAAAUCUGUUUCGGUGCACACAAAGCAACCCAGCAGCGUUUUGUACUUGAAUGUCUACGUAUUACAUUGUACUUACCUGUAUUUUCCAGAAGGUAUCCAGCAAAGUUUACAUGCGAGGUUUGAGUGAAUUUGAUGUAUUUAAUGUGUAGAUGUGGCUGAGUAGGAGAUGUAUUUAAUGUUGAAGCUGUGGAUGAGGCUCGGUGCUGCAGUGUGUGUGUUGGGUUGGGUCUUCUGCUGUCGUUGUGUCGUUCCAGGUUUACCUUCUUGUUGGGAAGCUGUGUACUAAUAACCGAAAGGAUCUAUUUAUUCAGAAUGGAAUGGUACUGUGAGCCCUACAAUUACAGCACACCUUCCUCUGCCAGGCGUUGUUCUCUCUUUGCCAUCCCUGUGCCU
ensembl:lncRNA